ACCGGCGGCUCGAGUGGUGGCCACUAUUACUGGGCUUAAAGCGUUCGUAGCUGGUUUGAUAAGUCUCUGGUGAAAUCUUUCGGCUUAACCGGAAGACUUCCUAGGGAUACUGGCAGGCUAGGGGCCGGAAGAGGUGAGAGGUACUCCAGGGGUAGGAGUGAAAUCCUGUAAUCCUUGGGGGACCACCUGUGGCGAAGGCGUCUCACCAGGACGGCUCUGACAGUGAGGAACGAAAGCUGGGGGAGCAAACCG
rnacentral:rRNA from 1 species